CUAUUCGAAACCUUCAGUAGCUCCACCACACUGUACAAUCUCAGACAACCAGCACAGGAACUUUUAUGAAACACUUUUCAUUUGGCAACAACCCGUAAUGUUUUGACACCAUUACAUUUCUAUAUACAACUGUCAGUAACUCGAAAUUUGACAUGUUGUUUUAUCUAUCAAAUGAACUGUCAACCACUACUUAAAUAUAUUCUUCAACUAUCACUAAUAUAAUUUUGCAAGUCAAAUUAAUAUCUUAAACACCAUAAUUAAAAUAAUACAAGAAACCCACUUUGCAGAAGCAUGUCAAGAAAUGAUAGAUUCCUCAGCAAAAACAAACAGAGUUAAUAGUACAACAGCUCCAGCAUGCAGUACAAGCUCACCCCCACGAAGAACAACACAUAAGCAAUGUCAGUUUAAUCGAAUAUGGAUAUAAUUAUUGAACCGCUAAAGAGUCAGGUUUUCAAGAGAAAUUUACAAAACCUGAGAGAAUGAAGGGGAUGACGCAAGGCUGGUGGAGUUGUAGCUAUGAAAUUUGAUGCCUUUAUGAAACCCAAAGCUUUUACUAUUGAAGGGCCUCUGCAAAAUCACAUCUUUCAAUGAGUAGAGAGGGAAAAAAAAGGAGAGAGUGGGAGUGGGGAGAGUAAAAUGUACCGCAAAAGGGUGAGAGAGUUUAUCAUAGCAGCCAUGGAAGUGAGAGAAAACGAAAACGCUGCAAUUAAUUGGUCUAACAGAUGAAAUUGAAGAAAAUCUAAGGGUCUCUGAGCAAUUACUUUUAUUGCGUAAUUUCCAUGAUUAUAAUUUUAUACGUUUCACAGCCGUGGAUCGUACGGCAAUUUUUUUUUUUA
rnacentral:lncRNA from 1 species